GUCAGAGUGGUGAAAUUGGCAGACACGCUAGCCUUAGGAGCUAGUGCCGCAAGGCGUGUGGGUUCGAGUCCCACCUCUGACACCA
rnacentral:tRNA from 2 species